rnacentral:rRNA from 1 species
AACGAACGCUGGCGGCAUGCCUAACACAUGCAAGUCGAACGGGAUCCUAGCUUGCUAGGUGAGAGUGGCGGACGGGUGAGUAACACGUGGGAAUCUGCCUUUUGGUUCGGGAUAACCGCGGGAAACUGCGGCUAAUACCGAAUGCCCUCGAGAGAGGAAAGAUUUAUCGCCAGAAGAGGAGCCCGCGUCCGAUUAGGUAGUUGGUGGGGUAAAGGCCUACCAAGCCGACGAUCGGUAGCUGGUCUGAGAGGAUGAUCAGCCACACUGGGACUGAGAUACGGCCCAGACUCCUACGGGAGGCAGCAGUGGGGAAUAUUGGACAAUGGGGGCAACCCUGAUCCAGCAAUGCCGCGUGAGUGAUGAAGGCCUUAGGGUUGUAAAGCUCUUUUGCCAGGGAAGAUGAUGACUGUACCUGGAGAAUAAGCCCGGCUAACUUCGUGCCAGCAGCCGCGGUAAU